rnacentral:rRNA from 1 species
UAGAGUUGGCGUCCUGGGUGAGUAACACGUGGAUAAUCUACCUAGAGGUGGGGAAUAACUUUCCGAAAGGGAAGCUAAUACCGCAUAAAGUUUAUUAGGGGCAUCCUUGAUAGACCAAAGGGGGGUUGAAAGAUCUCUCGCCGUUAGAGGAGUCCGCGGCUGAUUAGCUAGUUGGUGAGGUAAUGGCUCACCAAGGCGACGAUCAGUAGCCGGCCUGAGAGGGCGGUCGGCCACACUGGCACUGAAACACUGGGCCAGACUCCUUACGGGAGGCAGCAGUGGGGAAUUUUUGGGCAAUGGCCGAAAUGUGCUGACCCAGCAACGCCGCGUGAAGGAUGAAAUCUUUCGGGAUGUAAACUUCGUAAGUCAGGGAAGAAUAAGACUAACCUAAUACGUUAGUUGAUGACGGUACCUGACGUAAGCCCCGGCUAACUCCGUGCCAGCAGCCGCUGGUAAUACGGGGGGGGCAAGCGUUGUUCGGAAUUACUUGGGCGUAAAGUGGCGCGUAUGCGGUGAGAUCAAGUCGAAUGUGAAAUACCAGGGCUUAACCCUGGCAGGUCGUUCGAUACUGGUCGGCUAAAGUUGUCGGAACGGGGAUGC